rnacentral:tRNA from 1 species
CCUUCGAUAGCUCAGUUGGUAGAGCGGUGGACUGUAGAAGUUGUUUCAUCGCUGCACGUUGAGUAGUUGUGUUUACGGGUGUGUUGAGGUUUGUUGUGUUGAGUCAGUAGUUAUUGCGAGAAAGCUUUGUGUUGUAAUUGCAAACAAUGCACACUUUCACUCCUCCUACUGUCUCAAUGCAAAGUUUCUCUCAGCCCUCUCCACCAACACACUCAGCAGCAUGUGUGUUUCAGUAAUCCAUAGGUCACUGGUUCAAAUCCGGUUCGAAGGA